rnacentral:rRNA from 1 species
GACGAACGCUGGCGGCGUGCUUAACACAUGCAAGUCGAACGAAGAGCGAUGGAAGCUUGCUUCUAUCAAUCUUAGUGGCGAACGGGUGAGUAACGCGUAAUCAACCUGCCCUUCAGAGGGGGACAACAGUUGGAAACGACUGCUAAUACCGCAUACGAUCUAAUCUCGGCAUCGAGGAUAGAUGAAAGGUGGCCUCUACAUGUAAGCUAUCACUGAAGGAGGGGAUUGCGUCUGAUUAGCUAGUUGGAGGGGUAACGGCCCACCAAGGCGAUGAUCAGUAGCCGGUCUGAGAGGAUGAACGGCCACAUUGGGACUGAGACACGGCCCAGACUCCUACGGGAGGCAGCAGUGGGGAAUCUUCCGCAAUGGACGGAAGUCUGACGGAGCAACGCCGCGUGAGUGAUGACGGCCUUCGGGUUGUAAAGCUCUGUUAAUCGGGACGAAAGGCCUUCUUGCGAAUAGUGAGAAGGAUUGACGGUACCGGAAUAGAAAGCCACGGCUAACUACGUG